UCGUCAGGUGGGAUAAUCCUUGCCUGUUCCUCCUUUUGGAGGACGGAUAGAACGUGAUGAUUGGAGUUCGCAUGAUACGUGAUUAGCGUCUCUGCGUAACCAGGACUUGCAACACCCUGGUUGCUCCUAUCUGAU
rnacentral:snoRNA from 1 species